rnacentral:rRNA from 1 species
AACGAACGCUGGCGGCAUGCCUAACACAUGCAAGUCGAACGAGACCUUCGGGUCUAGUGGCGCACGGGUGCGUAACGCGUGGGAACCUGCCCUUAGGUUCGGAAUAACUCCCCGAAAGGGGUGCUAAUACCGGAUAAUGUCUUCGGACCAAAGAGUUAUCGCCUUUGGAUGGGCCCGCGUUGGAUUAGCUAGUUGGUAGGGUAAAAGCCUACCAAGGCGACGAUCCAUAGCUGGUCUGAGAGGAUGAUCAGCCACACUGGGACUGAGACACGGCCCAGACUCCUACGGGAGGCAGCAGUGGGGAAUAUUAGACAAUGGGCGAAAGCCUGAUCCAGCAAUGCCGCGUGAGUGAUGAAGGCCUUAGGGUUGUAAAGCUCUUUUACCCGGGAUGAUAAUGACAGUACCGGGAGAAUAAGCUCCGGCUAACUCCGUG